CUCACUAUAGAGGGUAGAGGGAAAAUUAUUUUUCCUUCUCUGCAGUUUCUGGUGACCAGGAUAAGACCCGCUGGGGCACCCCACUCACGCUGGAGCCUUUAGAUGGCAUCCCGGGAAAACUGGCAGAAACCAGCAAAGAGUGAGAAUUCCUACACAAGCCAGCUCUUCUGGACCUCUGUCUGUGGUGCCUGGUCGAGAGAGGAAGUGGGAAAGCUCGAACUUCAUGGAUGAAGAUGUGUGUUUUCACUGAAUGAGGAACCAACUGGCGUAGCCGGCAGCUGAAGGUCCAGACGAAUCGUGGUCCCUCCUUCGAGAAUGGGUUCUACUUGAAAUAGAAUCAUGGAGCCAUAUUGAAUUGUACACAGCAGAUAACUCAGAUGCUGUGAACCUGGUGGGAAGGAAGAGACACGGGCAGCAAUUGUCACAACACAGUACGGGCAGGGCCAUCUGAAAGGUGAAGAACAGGAGGCACGAGGGGAUCAAAGAAGAGCCAGUCAUGAUCCAAAUCCAGCCUGAAACCUCUUCCUAUUGACUGCCUUACCUGUCAGUAACUCAAUAAGCAACGUUGCCUCCUACGAAAGGAAACGCUCUGAGGAAACAAAUGGAGAGAAAUCUUCAUUCCUAAUGAAAACCAGAACCAUCCUCGAUUUCUUAGAUGACUGGGAAGCAUGAGAGAUGCAAAUACACCCAGCGCUCUUGUUAUUCCUACGUCUCCCUCCAGUAAACUGAAAACAGUACCUCCCCUCUGUGAAUCUGCCACCCUCCACAUGCUUGGCCCGGAUGCCGUACACCUGCUCAGCGUCUUCCGGAACCCACUGGAGCAUAUGGUAAGACUCACAUAUUGCCUCAUCCCAGGAUGGCUUGGGAACGCUGGUCACCUGGGCUCUGUUUUCAAGUGGUGUGACAGCAGCUGUGGGAAGCCCGGAGAAUGACAGGCUCUCACUGCUCUUCUUAGCAGUGGGAAAGGAGAGCAAGGGGAACAGAAGGGACACAUUUUCCUAUACCCGGCAGCUCUGACUUGACUGUUCUGUGAAAGAACACACUGCUCACUGGCUUGCCCCACUGUGAGCGGCUGUGAUACAAGGGAAACCCUGUUGUUGUUUUUAAACUGCUAGUCAAUUGUAGUAGGCAAAAUUACGGCCCUUAAACAUACCCAACUUCUCAUCCCCAGAACGUGUGACCACGUCACCUUCCAUGGCCAAGCAGAAUUAGGUAGAUGGACUUAAGGUUGCUAAUCAUCAGACUUUAACAUAGGGAGAUUAUUCUGGAUAACCUGGGUGGGGCCAGUGUAAUCACAAGGCUCUUUAAAUGGGGAAAGGGUGGCAGGUGUCAGAGUAAUGCUGUGUAAGGACGUGACCUGAUGUUGCUGGCUUUGAAGAUGGAGGCAGGGGGCCACUGGGCAAGGAAUGUAAGUAGCCUCUAGAAUCUUCAAAGGGCAAGAAACAGAUUCUCCCUAGAACCUCCAGAAAGGAACAGAGCCCUGCCCACAGCUGGCUUUUAGCACAGUGUGACUCACGUUGGAACUCUGAACUACAGAAACG